AUGAUUACAAGAGGAGAGACUACGGAAAACGUGGCGCCGAAGGAGCAAACAUUAGUGAAUCUCUCAGGCAAAAAGACUCUUGUAGGACG
rnacentral:ncRNA from 2 species